rnacentral:tRNA from 1 species
GUCCCCGUCGUCUAGGGGCCUAGGACACCGCCCUUUCAAGGCGGCAACGGCGGUUCGAAUCCGCUCGGGGAUA